rnacentral:lncRNA from 1 species
UGUAAAAUGAAUACAAGAAGGUACAUUAUUAUUAUAUGUGAGUCUUGGUAACAACCAUGCCAUCCUCGUGCCUAAUGCAUGCAGAUACGCUAGAUAUAAAAAAAAAAAAAAAAAUGUGUUAUGAUUGCCAAUGAGACAACUCUCCACAAGAGACCAAAAUGACACAGAAAUUAACAACUGUAGGUCAGCAUACGGCCUACAACAAUGAGCAAAGUCUAUACCGCAUAGUCAUCUAUAACAGGCCCCAAAAUGACAAUGUAAAACAAGAUCUAUAUUUUGCCUUCAUCAAUCAGAUUACAAACAGAGGUCAAUAUAUCAACAUUUUCUACAUUAAGUAGCCAGA